UUGUCGGGUAAGUUCCGACCUGCACGAAUGGCGUAAUGAUGGCCAGGCUGUCUCCACCCGAGACUCAGUGAAAUUGAACUCGCUGUGAAGAUGCAGUGUACCCGCGGCAAGACGGAAAGACCCCGUGAACCUUUACUAUAGCUUGACACUGAACAUUGAGCCUUGAUGUGUAGGAUAGGUGGGAGGCUUUGAAGUGUGGACGCCAGUCUGCAUGGAGCCGACCUUGAAAUACCACCCUUUAAUGUUUGAUGUUCUAACGUGGACCCGUGAUCCGGGUUGCGGACAGUGUCUGGUGGGUAGUUUGACUGGGGCGGUCUCCUCCUAAAGAGUAACGGAGGAGCACGAAGGUUGGCUAAUCCUGGUCGGACAUCAGGAGGUUAGUGCAAUGGCAUAAGCCAGCUUGACUGCGAGCGUGACGGCGCGAGCAGGUGCGAAAGCAGGUCAUAGUGAUCCGGUGGUUCUGAAUGGAAGGGCCAUCGCUCAACGGAUAAAAGGUACUCCGGGGAUAACAGGCUGAUACCGCCCAAGAGUUCAUAUCGACGGCGGUGUUUGGCACCUCGAUGUCGGCUCAUCACAUCCUGGGGCUGAAGUAGGUCCCAAGGGUAUGGCUGUUCGCCAUUUAAAGUGGUACGCGAGCUGGGUUUAGAACGUCGUGAGACAGUUCGGUCCCUAUCUGCCGUGGGCGCUGGAGAACUGAGGGGGGCUGCUCCUAGUACGAGAGGACCGGAGUGGACGCAUCACUGGUGUUCGGGUUGUCAUGCCAAUGGCACUGCCCGGUAGCUAAAUGCGGAAGAGAUAAGUGCUGAAAGCAUCUAAGCACGAAACUUGCCCCGA
rnacentral:rRNA from 1 species